UAGGGAAUCUUCCACAAUGGACGCAAGUCUGAUGGAGCAACGCCGCGUGAGUGAAGAAGGUUUUCGGAUCGUAAAGCUCUGUUGGGGGUGAAGAAGGAGAGAGGCAGUAACUGGUCUUUAUUGGACGGUAAUCAACCAGAAAGUCACGGCUAACUACGUGCCAGCAGCCGCGGUAAUACGUAGGUGGCAAGCGUUGUCCGGAUUUAUUGGGCGUAAAGCGAGCGCAGGCGGAAUGAUAAGUCUGAUGUGAAAGCCCACGGCUCAACCGUGGAACUGCAUCGGAAACUGUCAUUCUUGAGUGCAGAAGAGGAGAGUGGAAUUCCAUGUGUAGCGGUGGAAUUCGUAGAUAUAUGGAAGAACACCAGUGGCGAAGGCGGCUCUCUGGUCUGCAACUGACGCUGAGGCUCGAAAGCAUGGGUAGCGAACAGG
rnacentral:rRNA from 1 species